rnacentral:rRNA from 1 species
UACGGAGGGUGCGAGCGUUGUCCGGAAUCAUUGGGCGUAAAGGGCGCGUAGGUGGCCCGGUCAGUUCGUGGUGAAAGCGCGGGGCUCAACCCUGCGUCGGCCAUGAAUACUGCCGCGGCUGGAGCACUGUAGAGGCAGGCGGAAUUCCUGGUGUAGCGGUGAAAUGCGCAGAUAUCAGGAGGAACACCGAUGGCGAAGGCAGGUCUCUGGGCCACUACUGACGCUGAGGAGCGAAAGCGUGGGGAGCGAACAGG